rnacentral:misc_RNA from 1 species
ACAUAAUCAUACUCACCCCAGACUAAUAAGUCAAAGAGGGAGGAAUAAUCACACUCACCCCAUUAAUGGAGGAGGAACAUAGUAUCAGUGUCAUGCCAAUUGUGAGUCAAAACAAUUCCAAACAUUUUAUUCAAAUGAUCCGUAAGAAUCCAAUAAAUUUCCAAAGUUAUAAUUUCAUUCACAAAAUGGCAACACAAUUCGUAAUUCACUUCAAUUUCCACAAAAACCAUUUACAGUGCUUUUCAAUCAAUAAGUAUCCA